AUUGAACGCUGGCGGCAUGCUUUACACAUGCAAGUCGAACGGUAACAGGCCGCAAGGUGCUGACAAGUGGCGAACGGGUGAGUAAUGCAUCGGAACGUGCCCAGUCGUGGGGGAUAACGCAGCGAAAGCUGCGCUAAUACCGCAUACGAUCUAUGGAUGAAAGCGGGGGACCGUAAGGCCUCGCGCGAUUGGAGCGGCCGAUGUCAGAUUAGGUAGUUGGUGGGGUAAAGGCUCACCAAGCCGACGAUCUGUAGCUGGUCUGAGAGGACGACCAGCCACACUGGGACUGAGACACGGCCCAGACUCCUACGGGAGGCAGCAGUGGGGAAUUUUGGACAAUGGGCGCAAGCCUGAUCCAGCAAUGCCGCGUGCAGGAAGAAGGCCUUCGGGUUGUAAACUGCUUUUGUACGGAACGAAAAGGCUCUGGUUAAUACCUGGGGCUCAUGACGGUACCGUAAGAAUAAGCACCGGCUAACUACGUGCCAGCCGCCGCGGUAAUAC
rnacentral:rRNA from 1 species